UGUGUAGGCGGUUCUUUAAGUUUGGUGUGAAAUCUCCCGGCUCAACCGGGAGGGUGCGCCGAAUACUGAGGGACUAGAGUGUGGGAGAGGAAAGUGGAAUUCCUGGUGUAGCGGUGAAAUGCGUAGAUAUCAGGAGGAACACCGGUGGUGUAGACGGCUUUCUGGACCAUAACUGACGCUGAGACACGAAAGCGUGGGUAGCAAAACA
rnacentral:rRNA from 1 species